rnacentral:scRNA from 1 species
GACAAAAUCAGCGACAUUACCACCGUUGGCGA